GCGGUAACACGUAGAAGACUAGUGUUAUUCAUCUUUAUUAGGUUUAAAGGGUACCUAGACGGGAAAUCAAGCCAUAAUAGGGACUAAUUUUCUGGAGUUUUAUGUGAGAAGGCGCGAAUUUCCGGAGGAAAGUUGAUAUUUUAUGAUACUGGAAGGACGGGUAACGGUGAAGACAACCUUCUAUGUAAAAACUGACGUUGAGGGACGAAGCCUUGGGUAACGAUAAGGAUUAGAUACCCUAGUAGUCCUUGGAGAAAAUUAUGAAUGCCAUAGGUUAGCUUAACUGCAAAAUACAUUAUAUUUGUAACUAUAUCAGCAAUAAGCUUAAUUUGUUGUUGGACAUUCUUUUAGAUGAGCAAUAACCAUAAUUUGUUGUUAGUCAUACUUUUAGGUCAGCAACAAACGCUAAUGUUGGCCAUACUAUUAAGCUUUUGUUUAAAACGUACUUUAAACCUAGUAGAUUAAUAGUAGUAGUAGUAGUCUUAGUAGCAGUAAUAUGGCCUAUAAAUGAAAGUGCAAGCAUUCCACCUCAUGAGUAAAGCGGCAACGCCCAAAUUGAAAUCAUUAGACCGUUUCUGAAACCAGUAGUGAAG
rnacentral:rRNA from 2 species